UUCUUACGUUGAAGUGAAAGACCCCCCCCCAGAGCAGGGAGACCCUCACUCAAGUCUCGGGAUGAUGCGACCCCCCAAGAACUCAUGUAAGACU
rnacentral:pre_miRNA from 14 species